CACCGCGGUUAUACGAAAGACCCUAGUUAAUAGCUACGGCGUAAAGGGUGGUUAAGGAAUAUAAAAAAUAAAGCUAAAGACCCUCUAAGCCGUCAUACGCACCCCGAGGGCACGAAGCCCGUACACGAAAGUAGCUUUACACUCCACCUGACCCCACGAAAGCUAAGAAA
rnacentral:rRNA from 1 species